rnacentral:rRNA from 1 species
AGGACGAACGCUGGCGGCGUGCCUAAUACAUGCAAGUCGAACGGUCUUUCUAUGGAAGCUUGCUUCCACUGAGAAGAUAGUGGCGAACGGGUGAGUAACACGUGGGUAACCUGCCCAUAAGAGGGGGAUAACAUCCGGAAACGGGUGCUAAUACCGCAUAGUUUCUUGAUCGCAUGAUUGAGAAAGGAAAGACGGCCUUUGUGCUGUCGCUUAUGGAUGGACCCGCGGCGUAUUAGUUAGUUGGUGAGGUAACGGCUCACCAAGACGAUGAUACGUAGCCGACCUGAGAGGGUGAUCGGCCACAUUGGGACUGAGACACGGCCCAAACUCCUACGGGAGGCAGCAGUAGGGAAUCUUCCGCAAUGGACGAAAGUCUGACGGAGCAACGCCGCGUGAGUGAAGAAAGGUUUUCGGAUCGUAAAACUCUGUUGUCAGAGAAGAACAAGUUGGAGAGUAACUGCUCCAGCCUUGACGGUAUCUGACCAGAAAGCCACGGCUAACUACGUGCCAGCAGCGGC